CCCAUAUCUGUUGAAAAUGCAAGCUAGGAUUAUUCAUUUUUAAACCAUUUUUUUAAACAGCUAGUAUUGGCGAUCUAAAGGGAAUGAAUAUAAAAGCAAAGAAUUGUAGCUGUUUUUUUUCCAGACUAUGUUAUCAAAUCAGUGUAAAUGACAAAAAAAAAAAAAAAAAAAAUCAGAUCAACAGAAAACGAAAAGCUAGAAAUAUCCAACCACUGUGUGAUAUGACAAAAAUUGUGCACCCCUAGUGAUGUGUUUUUUGGCUUUGUAAUGCUGACAACACUUUGCAAAGCCUCACAAAAACCUAAAAAUGCUAAUCCUUGCAAAGAGAAAAAAGUUCACCUCAGAAUGAGGAAAAACUACAGAUGCGCUGCUCACCACUUCACACCAUCUGAAUAUUUUUAUUCCUCGACCAGCCAGAGGGAAGCCUCCACUUAAAGGGGUCAUAUUGUGCAAGCUUAUAUAGGUCACCACGUGCCCUGACAAUAUAUUAAAGUCUAGGAAGAGAGGAAAACACAGGCCGAUAAAGGCGGUUUUUAAAUUUGCACUGCUUCACGCCAGUGUCAUUUUGACCAAUAUUCAGAAACAGAUGCGUGGCUGCUUGCCUUUACAGAUCUACUCCAUCGCUGAGGGAAAGGAAGUUCUAUAUACUGCUUUCAAAAAAACGUAGGGUGGUAACAACCUAAAAUAGCAUGUUGCUGCUCCCAGAAGGAUAUCUUAGAAUAAAGCAGCUGUCCAAGCUUCUUGUGUACUGAAAGUUGACAAGCUCCUCACUCUGUUAUUGUGGCUCAAACCUGUCACCCGACUGCGGUGGCGAUUUAACCUAUCAGCUUCUUUCAAUGAGUAGCAGACCCGACGCAUUACUGGGUUGGUGUGGAAACUUGUCAGCACAUCAAAUAGCGUUUGCAUCAUUUGAUUAGCCAUAAGUUGCAGUCUUAAGAAAUGUGUGUUUCUGUGCCUGCUGCUUUAAAUAGAAUGAACUGGACUCUCUUUGGACAGGAAGUAUACCCCCUUCUUUCUCUUAAAAAGACACUGUCACUCAGAGGUCAGUCCAUCUCACUGGGAGCAUAUG